AAAAGCCAAAAAAAAAAAAAAAAAAAAAAAAAAGACUGCAUUUACACCUCCAGCUCCCACCUCUUCCCCGAGGAUCUCUGCAGACAACUUCCAGGUAUGAAUCAGCUUUUAGAUAUUAAAAGGCACCUCAGUCUCACCACAUUCAACCUGAACUCAUGAUCUGCCCCAAACCUGAUUCUGUUCCAGUGUUCCCAAUCUCUGUGAAUCAUUUUCAUCAUAUGUUAGUUAUGCAAAGCAGCAUCUAGAAGUCACUCUUAACUCCUCCUCCCUUUCAGCAAGCCCUGCUGAUUAUAUCUGUUCAAUGGCUCUUGAAUUCUUUAGUGUCUCUGCAACUUCACCGUCUUUAUCCCCGUCCAGGCUGCCUGGGCCAUUGCAGCAGGAUCUUCAUUUGUUUAGCUUUGCUCACCCACUCUGACCUGCAGCUGGUUCACUCACUGCACUAAAGCUGAUUGAUCUGAAUUAUUUAGGAUUCUCAUGGCUGGAACCAGUCCCAGGAAGGUUUUCCCUAUGUGGUGGCGCCUGCCCCAUGCCUCUAGGCUUACACCCUGCUAGAUGAGUGACCCCUCUGUCAACAUAUAGAUGGUAUUCGAAGGCAGUGGACUAGAUGAGCUUUGCCAGGGAUGGUUAUGCGAAGAGAAGAUGACCACGUCAGAAUCCCGGGGCCCGGGCUGCACCUGGUUGAUUGAGAAGGAAAUAGCCAGGAUGCUUGUUGCUCCUAGGACCCAAUCCAGCCUCAUUCACCCAAAAAGGGGGUGCCCCGAAUAUUUGGUCAAAUCAAGAAAGCAUCUGUCCUUUCCCCACUUUUUUUUUUGUUUUUGUUUUUUCUUUUUCUUUCUCUAAGCUUCAUUUCUCCAAGACUUAGGGGCUCUGAGUCACGCAGAGGACUCCCUCAUCUAUUGCUGUGUUCCCAUCCCCAGGUUUCUGGGAGUUUGACUCCCCCCCCAUCCACAAGUUAACACCCUUUUCCUGGGUGUAGUUGAUUGCUUUAGAGAUAAGCACCUGACUGAGGCUGGCCGAUCUUUCCCAGGAAUUUGGAAGCAAGGCUGAGGCUGCAGCGCAGACUCCCGCGAUAAAGAGGACUUCCGGUUUCCCCCGGAAGCGCUCAGGAGUCUCCAGUUCCAGCCUCUUCCGAGCCUGUGUUUGAGGCCUAGCCAGAUCUCUGCCCUGAGUUCUGGGUUCUCUUUGGAUGGUUCGUAUUCCUAGGCUGUGUCUUCACGCAAAUAUGUGGCAGUGCAGUGCUGGAAGCCCCUCGCAUGUGAGCAGUUUGUGGAUACAUGGGCCCUGCACGGGGAGCCUGGUAAAGAAUAGCAAAGGCUUAACCCGUCCUGACACAAUGCAGCCGUCCUGCGUGCAACUGAGAACGCGCGCUCACCCCUUCCCCCGGAAGAGGAAGUCAAGUCCUUGAGUGCUGUUGACUCUUCUGGUUGGCCUCUCACCUAAACGCUGUGCUGUGAGACUCUCCAAGCGGAAACGCUGUGAGCUGCCUGGAAUCUGAACUCAAUGCUUGGAGACUCAGAAGCCACUUAUAAUCAUGAAGAUGAAAGCCACAGAGCACAGCAGAUCUGAAAGAUGGAGGGACCAUGACCUCAGUCUUGGAUGCCCUACUGCAGACAUGUUAGUAUUUACAGAUGGCCACCGUGUCACACAACUGCUGUGGAAACAUUCCCAGAAUCCCAUGUGUGUGCCCACCUUGGAGCCGUGUGCAGCAAGGCAGCCCUCCGGGGGUACAGAUGGAGGUAGAGAAUUUGUGAGAUCAGCUCUUCCCUUUAAGGCCAAGUCCUUCAACGCAUGCAGAGAAGGCCAGUGUAAGAAGAUCAAGGGAGAAUUCCAGCUGGCUUCCUGGAGUGCAGGUGCCCAGCCUUAACCUGGCACUCACACUUUUGCCAGGGAGAGAGUGAAGUCUAAAUAUCCUCAGGGAUUAGCUCGUUUCCUGGGACGAUCCCACUGUGUAGUCCCUGCUAUGGGCAGGAUUAACCCAUCUUUCCCGGAGCCCCACCUGGAGGAAGGAACAGGCAAUCCGGGGGAGUCCUGCAUCUGAGAAUGGUCCAGCUUUCUCUCUGAGCACCCAGCUUCCCCCAGGGAGUGCUGUGAACCCCGAAUGACCCUCAGCCUCCUCGCUUGGACUGCCAACAGGAAGUGGAUUGAAGGUCCUCACGCAGUGUAGCCCCGGAACCCUAGCGUGCUGAUCCGGGUGUGCCGUAGCCCCUGCUACAACUCGCCCAGGUGUUGCCUUUGAGCCGUCCCUGAUGCUAGAGCCUGAGCGGACCAAGACCUUCUCCUUUCCACAACCAGCCUCCGUUGUGUUCCUGAGGCAGUUUGGAUGGACAGGCCGAUAAGACUUCGCUUCGCCUCUAAAGGACGUCGUUGGGAUCGGGGUCCCUGUGAGCAGAAGCUUACAAUCCUCGCACGGGAGGAGAACACAUUGGAAAAUAUACAGAAUCAACCUUCAUCUGGGGAACACUGAAAUAAGUUCUAAUGAAAUGCAAAAAAAAAAAAAAAAAAACCAUUCAUUUUAUGAGAGAAAUGAGCAUGUAAAGUAAAUAAAAG